UUUCCAGAAGUAUAUUCCCACUUUGGGGGAUGUUUCAUAUAUCAAACCAUUGCGAGGUUUACCAGUGGAGUUUCGUAAGAGCUUAUUGUAAAAUGAGAGUUGGGAACAGCCCCCUAUUAAGUAGCAGAUUGUGGAAAGAUUCUUCCCACUUGGAAAGAGACUUUCUUUCUGGAACACAUGCUGUUGGAUCUUCCAGUAGCCAGCUAGAGAGAAGUGUCCACCCAGAGCUCCUGAAAGUUCUCUAUCAGUUUCUAGAAGGGGGAGUCUUCAAGACGGGUGCGCCUACAUUUUUUGAUUUUAUUCUGUUAAGAUUGACCAGAUUCAUUAAUGUGCUGCUGCUGACCCAUAACUUCUAAAAAUGAAGAUAAGGCUGUCAUUGGCCGUGUCGGCUUUCGUUGCAGUGUUAUUCGCCUCCGUUGAAGCGCAAGGUAAAUGUGCCUCCCUCCUGCCCUUUUCACAUACCCCCAUCCCCCACCCCCAACUCUGGCUCGCUUUCUCUCUCUCUCUAGUUGUUUGAUAUAAACCUACAGGAUUUAGGGUAUUUAUUGUGUGAGAACCAUCACAUGGAAACAACCAUAAUGCAUUGUACAGUAUGAUUAAUAAAAUGAUACCCAGUUGUGUGUAUUUUACUUGAUAUGACUUGCCCUGCACCCAGGGGCACCAUGCACCCCCAAAAUCUGAGGGCACAAAGUACAUGUUGUAGGGGGUGGUCGGGAGAAUUGAGCUGAAACAUCUUCUUCCUGGAAUCAAGAGACAUAAUCAUUAUGCCUAAUUUGAUGUAAAAAAAAAGAGAAAGGAAUAAAGCUAUAUUUUCUGCAUAGGUUAUCUAAGCAUAUUGCCUUCACCUGUUCAAUUGUCAUUUUAAUAAACUUGUAUGCCUUUAGUACAACUGCCACAUGGGUAUAUAGUAUCAUUACCCAAUAAUUAAAGCAAUUUUAUUCAAUUGUGUAUCUAUUUGUCAUUAGAGUUUUGAAAAUAACAAUCUAAAUAUCUGUCAAUCAUUGCAUGCAUAGUUCUGUCUAUUAAAUUCAGUGGUUACAUUUCCCCAGCCCCUGCCUGCAUCUUUGCUAAAAUAUGGGUAAAAUAAUAGAAUAUGAGUCUUAUUCAGUACAUUUAGUAAUUGCUUGCUUUUUUAAAGUCUAGCAACCUUGCCAGCAGGCAUGCAAUUGCCAGCUAAGAUAGUUAGGUAAGCUAGCCAAGCUUGCUCAAACUUGAUUGUUAGGCUGAAAUGGCUUCUUGGUAGCUCAUUAUGAGGUUGGGAGAUUGGUAGCCCAUUUAUAGAUGGGCUACCCACUUGGCUAAAUCCAACUUGAUAAAAUUGCUAGCUAGCUGGCUAGAAUUACAGCAAAACAUUUGUUUUAUUUUUAAUCAAGAGGGAAUCGGCUAUCAAUAUCUUGAUCAAAUUCAUUUACAAACAUACCUCCUGUGAGUUCUGCCCACCAAUAAAAUCAAACUACACUAUAUAUACAACGGUAUGUGGACACCCCUUCAAAUUAGUGGAUUCGGCUAUUUCUGCCACACCCAUUGCUGACAGAUGUAUAAAAUCGAGCAUACAGCCAUGCUAUCUCCAUAGACGGGGCGGCAGGGUAGCCUAGUGGUUAGAGCGUUGGACUAGUAACCGAAAGGUUUCAAGUUUGAAUCCCCUAGCUGACAAGGUACAAAUCUGUCGUUCUGCCCCUGAACAGGCAGUUAACCCACUGUUCCUAGGCCGUCAUUGAAAAUAAGAAUUUGUUCUUAACUGACUUGCCUAGUAAAAUAAAGGUCAAAUUUUAAUAAAAAAAAUAGACACACAAUGACAGUAGAAUGGCAUUACGGAAGAGCUCAGUAACUUUCAACGUGGCACCGUCAUAGGAUGCCACCUUUCCAACAAGUCAGUUCGUCAAAUUUCUGCCCUGCUAGAGCUACCCCGGUCAACUGUAAGUGCUGUUAUUGUGAAGUGGAAACAUCUAGGAGCAAGAACGGCACAGCUGCAAAGUGGUAGGCCACACAAUCUCACAGAACUGGACCACCGAGUGCUGAAGCAAGUGGCGUGUCCUCAGUUGCAACACUCACUAAGAGUUCCAAACGGCCUCUGGAAGCAACAUCAGUACAAGAACUGUUCAUCGGGAGCUUCAUGAAAUGGUUUUCCAUGGCCGAGCAGCCCCACACAAGCCUAAGAUCACCAUGUGCAAUGCCAAGCGUCGGCUGGUAUGGUGUAAAGCUCGCCCCCAUUGGACUCUGGUGUAGGGGAAAUGCGUUCUCUGUAGUGAUGAAUCACGCUUCACCAUCUGGCAGUCUGACGGACAAAUCUGGGUUUAGCGGAUGCCAGGAAAACACUACCUGCCCCAAUGCAUAGUGCCAAAUGUAAAGUUUGGUGGAGGAGGAAUAAUUAUCCGGGGCUAUUUUUCGUGGUUCAGGCUAGACCCCUUAGUUCCCUUAGCCUUACAGCAUACAAUGACAUUCCAGAAUGUUUCUGUGUUUCCAAGAAAUUGACUGGCCUGCACAAAGCCUUGACCUCAACCCCGUCAAAGACCUUUGGGAUGAAUUGGAACAACAACUGCGAGCCAGGCCUAAUCGCCCAACAUCAAUGCCCAACCUCACUAAUGAUCUUGUGGCUGAAUGGAAGCAAGGCCCAGCAAUGUUCCAACAUCUAGUGUAAAGUCUUCCCAGAAGAGUGGUCUUUUCUAGCAGCAAAGGGUGGGACCAACUCCAUAUUAAUGCCCAUGAUUUUGGAAUGAGAUGUUCGAUGAGCAGGUGUCCACAUACUUUUGGUCAUGUAGUGUAUGUGCGUGCAGCGUGUCACUCUAGUCUAGAGCAAAGAUGGUGGAGAGUAUACUCAUACUCAGGCCGUUUACCAUUGAAAAAAAAUGGUCAGUUCCGAUCUACUUAAGGGGGGUGCUGUCCCAUAGACACUAAUGCAAUAGCAUCUGGGUCUGAUCUACUUAGACUUCCAUUCAAACAAUGAACAGGUUGGUUGUUUAUCAGCAAAACCGAUGCUCGCGCAACCAUGGGACAAAACAGACUGGGUUGGCUUAGAUUGUUGACAUGUAAACUAUAUUUAGUCUCCAAUGUUUGUUGAAAACACAAAUAAAUUUGCACAAUGAGCACUUGUCUCUGAAAUACAUCGUUACAGUUGUUGGUUAGCUAGCUAACAUUUUUUUUGCCAUAUUAGCGUUGACAUGAAAUCAGUCAAAACAAGACAUGACAUCAAGAACAAGACGAAACUAUCUGAAACUAUCUGAAACAAGUCACGAUUCCCCACAUGGUAGUUUCUUGUCAUUGUUGGUAGCUAUCUGGCCAUCCAGAAUCACAACAACUUGCAGACUUCUGGCCGAAUGAAGCGCCCGCAUUGCUUUCGUGACGUUGUCAGCUAACCCAUCUAUAGAGAAUGAUAGAGAAAACAUCUCUAUAUAGUUCCCAUUAUGGUGUAUGUGAGCACAUGGACAGAGCCAUUGAGGCAAUCUUCAUUUUGAUAUCGUCAAUUUUUUGGAUUUAUGAUUAGGUGAUCCCUCCUAAUGAUCCGGUUGGACAUGACUCCAACAGGGUCAUCAGGAGGGAUCAGCCAAUAGAGUUGGAAGUCCCACCCAGUUGACUACAUUAAAAUGGUGGAAGCCCUCAAUGGCGCUGCCUAUGCUAAAACUGCCUUUUGGCCACUAGAUGGUAAAUCUUUAUUAAGUUUAGUAAUUCAUUUAUGUUUUUUUAGCAGGACAAAUCUGAGAGGGAACGUGCCCCUGGGCGUGACACUUCUGUCUACACCUCUUCCCUUUCUCUGUGAUGUAAUAUGAUUCUAGGAGUCCCAUUCUAGGAGUCCCAUUCUAGGAGUCCCAUUCUAGGAGUCCCAUUCUUGAACAUAUUUCAGGAUAAUUACAAUUUGAUUAAUUUAUUUGACAUUUAGUCCAUGUUGGUAUAUAUAUAUAUAUAUAUAUAUAUUACACAUAUACUGUGUGUAUAUGUAUAUAUAUAUAUUCUCAAUUUUUUUUCUUUAUGUAAUAUCCCAAAUUUUGGAAAUGUUUCCAACUUUACCAAUGA
rnacentral:lncRNA from 1 species